UGGUGAGGUACACCUGUCGCUCUGGCUUCAUGCUGGUGGGAAACCCGACCAGAUCUUGCCAGUCUAAUGGCCUCUGGACCCCGAAACCUAGCUGCCUCAGAAUGUGUCAGCGGGGACGCAUUGAAAUCAGUGAGAGGGAACUAAAUGGGACAUGCAACUCCACCUGCGCAUACAAGAGCUACUUCGGCCCGCCCAAACAAGGCUGCACUCGCCUAGACAACUGCAAGAAGAAGGAGACCGGCUGGAAACGGUUCUUUGCACAGUGUGUCCCUUGCAUUUGUGACUGCGCUUUAUCGUGUGGUGAGUCACUUCCCCGCCACACUAUCAAGCAUAAAUAACAACGUGAUGUAUAAUGUGAGCAUGUUGUAAUGUUGUCUCAGUGCAAAUACACUUCAGUGUGGUUCAUUAUUGCUUGAAACUUGAAUUUGCUGUCUUUUUUUUCUGAGAAAGUCCAUGCAAAGAACACUUUUGUCUUUUUUUUUUUUAGCAUUUACAGGCUAACACCUGGAGAAAUGUUGACUGUACAGUGAGACAUCAGAUGAAGAAGAAUUACACAGACAGUUUGUACCCCGCAGAGCCACGCUGUGUUUGUACUGCUUCAUCCAAUUGUGUGGACAAAUCAGUGGACCGAAAUCUGGAUGUUUUGAGACAUUAAUGUAAUCUCUCUGCCACACAGAAACCAACAAUUCCAAACAAUUUCUCCUUGGUUUCCAUAUAAAGGAUUUCACACUGUGACAAGAAGAUUUCAGGGCCUGAGAUUCCAACCACUCAGUGAGUCAGUGGUGAAUUAUUAGCAAAGAACUGCUAAAUUCAGUCAAUCUGUGUCACGUAAAGUGGCGGAAAGGUCAGGAAAGAAAAGUGAGGUGAAUUUUAAAACAAGUCUCUGAGAGGCAAACUUGGGUCAAAUAAUUAUUUGAAAUAGUAUUAAAUAUUAUCUAAAAUAAAAAGUUA
rnacentral:lncRNA from 1 species